AUUGAACGCUGGCGGCGUGCCUAAUACAUGCAAGUCGAGCGAACAGACGAGGAGCUUGCUCCUCUGACGUUAGCGGCGGACGGGUGAGUAACACGUGGAUAACCUACCUAUAAGACUGGGAUAACUUCGGGAAACCGGAGCUAAUACCGGAUAAUAUAUUGAACCGCAUGGUUCAAUAGUGAAAGACGGUUUUGCUGUCACUUAUAGAUGGAUCCGCGCCGCAUUAGCUAGUUGGUAAGGUAACGGCUUACCAAGGCAACGAUGCGUAGCCGACCUGAGAGGGUGAUCGGCCACACUGGAACUGAGACACGGUCCAGACUCCUACGGGAGGCAGCAGUAGGGAAUCUUCCGCAAUGGGCGAAAGCCUGACGGAGCAACGCCGCGUGAGUGAUGAAGGUCUUCGGAUCGUAAAACUCUGUUAUUAGGGAAGAACAAAUGUGUAAGUAACUAUGCACGUCUUGACGGUACCUAAUCAGAAAGCCACGGCUAACUACGUG
rnacentral:rRNA from 1 species